rnacentral:rRNA from 1 species
UACGAAGGGGGCUAGCGUUGCUCGGAAUCACUGGGCGUAAAGCGCACGUAGGCGGCUUGUUAAGUCAGGGGUGAAAUCCUGGAGCUCAACUCCAGAACUGCCUUUGAUACUGGCGAGCUCGAGUCCGGGAGAGGUGAGUGGAACUGCGAGUGUAGAGGUGAAAUUCGUAGAUAUUCGCAAGAACACCAGUGGCGAAGGCGGCUCACUGGCCCGGUACUGACGCUGAGGCGCGAAAGCGUGGGGAGCAAACAGG